CUGUGCUAGAUGGGGAGGUAGCGGUGCCCUGUAACCUGCAAACCGCUAUAGCAGGGUCGAAUUCCCUUUGGAGGCAUUGUCUUUGUGGUGCAGACUCGGAUAAGUGGUUAUGACGACUGGGUCCCGCUCAACGGAAGUUCAUGAACCCCGUCAGGUCCGGAAGGAAGCAGCGGUAAGUGAUCCCUUUCGUGUGCUGCGGGUCAGCCUGGUCUGAGCUAACUGUUCGGGUACCGGCUAUGAAACUUUGUCGAAUUGGGGUGCACAG
rnacentral:SRP_RNA from 1 species